CAGUCGCCACGGGAAUACAGAGGGUGCGAGCGUUAAUCGGAUUUACUGGGCGUAAAGCGUGCGUAGGCGGCUAAUUGAGUCGGAUGUGAAAUCCCUGAGCUUAACUUAGGAAUUGCAUUCGAUACUGGGAAGCUAGAGUAUGGGAGAGGAUGGUAGAAUUCCAGGUGUAGCGGUGAAAUGCGUAGAGAUCUGGAGGAAUACCGAUGGCGAAGGCAGCCAUCUGGCCUAAUACUGACGCUGAGGUACGAAAGCAUGGGGAGCAAACAGGAUUAGUGACCCCAGUAGUCCCUGUCUCUUAUAC
rnacentral:rRNA from 1 species